GUGUCUUGUGGUGUAACUGGCAACACACGGGCUGCCCCUUGGGUCCUAGGCCCCCCUUGGGUGUGUCUUCGGACACCCAGCGCGAGACUCCUGGUUCAAAUCCAGGCGGGCACA